AUACGUAGGGAGCAAGCGUUGUCCGGAAUUACUGGGCGUAAAGGGCGCGUAGGCGGAUAAUUAAGUCAGGUGUGAAAACUCUGGGCUCAACCUGGAGAUUGCACUUGAAACUGGUUAUCUUGAGGGCAGGAGAGGAAAGUGGAAUUCCUAGUGUAGCGGUGAAAUGCGUAGAUAUUAGGAGGAACACCAGUGGCGAAGGCGACUUUCUGGACUGUACCUGACGCUGAGGCGCGAAAGCGUGGGGAGCGAACGGGAUUAGAUACCCCGGUAGUCCACGCCGUAAACGAUGGAUACUAGGUGUAGGAGGUAUCGACCCCUUCUGUGCCGCAGUUAACACAAUAAGUAUCCCGCCUGGGGAGUACGGCCGCAAGGUUGAA
rnacentral:rRNA from 1 species